rnacentral:tRNA from 1 species
GGGCUGUGGCUCAAUGCAGAGCAUCUGCUUAAUACGCAGAAGGUCUCUGGUUCAAUCCCCAGCAUAGCAACA